rnacentral:rRNA from 1 species
GUACGGCGAGUGAGAGGAAGAGCUCAAAGUUGGAACCUGUUUGGCCUAGCUAAACNNNNNNNNNNNNNGUAGAAGUGUUUUCCAGGCAAGCCGAGUAAAUAAGUCCUUUGGAACAGGGCAUCAUAGAGGGUGAGAAUCCCGUCUUUGGCUUGAGCAUUUGCCUUUUGUGAUACGCUUUCAAAGAGUCAGGUUGUUUGGGAAUGCAGCCUAAAUUGGGUGGUAAAUCUCACCUAAAGCUAAAUAUUGGCGAGAAACCGAUAGCGAACAAGUACCGUGAGGGAAAGAUGAAAAGAACUUUGAAAAGAGAGUUAAACAGUAUGUGAAAUUGUUAAAAGGGAACCGUUUGGAGCCAGACUGGCUUGUCUGUAAUCAAUCUAGGCUUCGGCCUGGAUGCACUUGCAGGCUAUGCCUGCCAACGACAAUUUGACUUGAGGGAAAAAACUAGGGGAAAUGUGGCCCACUUGUGGGUGUUAUAGUCCCUUAGAAAAUACCUUGGGUUGGAUUGAGGAACGCAGCGAAUGCUUAUUGGCGAGUUUUCCAGGAAGGUUUUCUGAGGUACUACGGUAUCAAGGUUGAUCUUUUUGGUUAUACUUCUAUUCGCUUAGGUUGUUGGCUUAAUGACUCUAAA